AGCUUUGUAAGUUGUUUGAUAUGAUUCAUACGUACAUUAUGCAGUUGUAGAAUUUAUUUAAAGUCAAGGAAAGGACACUUGUAGUCCACAUAAACACAUACCGAUUGAAAACGGGCUUUUGUGAAAAAAAUUAUAAUGAAUGCACUGAUAGUUCUUUUUUUAAUCAGAGGUCUGCAAUGAAAAUCGACCGAUACCCGGGGGUCGGGCUAGUGGUUUUCUGCAAGAGGGUCGCCCCGUUGGCCAGUAAAAAAAGAUAAUAUUAUUUAUACACGUGCAAUACAUGCAAAGCACACCUGAGUUCAGAUACUGAAAGUGAACAUAAGUGGAACUUUGAUGAUCUAGGCCGCUCUAUUUUUGCAGCAACACCAGCAGGCGUCGGACAUUCAUAAAGUUGAAAGAACAAACCUAUGACUUGAACACACAAUUUGUGAUCUGAAUAUAGUUCACAAAUUUAAGGAAAGCAACUAUCAAAGACAUUCAGAUUGAUGGUAUACAUGAAGUAUGAAUGAAAGACUUUUCAGAAGAACAAGCACAAUCCGUAUUCAUUCUUGCCAUUGUCUUCUCCAGACGGCGACAUUUAGGACCUGAAUUACUUUUCAGAAAAAGAAGAUGAAUCGAUUUUUGAUAGUUGAUCUUAAAAAGAUAACAUUUUCAGGGGUCGUGGAUUGAAUGACAUUUUCUUGAUGGGCAACUAGUUUCAAGUAUUUGGAUGUCUAUUCUCAAGUUACUGGAAACCUUAAAUUAACUUCUUGAUUAUUAGUUAAAUGUGAGACCGUUUCUUACUUGAAGUAAUCAUUUUUUGAAUUGAGCUAUGUAAUCUCUGAUUACUUAUGUUUAUGAGUAGUGUUCAGCUUUAAGACAAAAGGAUCUUUUAUGAACACUGCAUUCGUCAUGGUGAAUUUCUAUACAUUAAGAAACAGUCAUAGUUUUCGUCUUUUUUAAUUAGCGAUCUCAUUUUAAAUGUGAGAAAUAAUUAUGAAACUGAAAUGUACAUUUAUGUUGUUUGAUUUUUAUUUUUUUGAAAAUUGUUAAUCAAUUGCCUGUUGUUGUUUUUUUUUUUCAUUUUAUUUUAGGGGAUGGGAGUGGGGGUGCAGCUGUAAGUUUGAGUAUAUUUUCCAAAAGGAUGUACAUCGUUAUUUUUGUUUUAAUAUCAAUUUUAAAAUGCAAAAUGAUGAGAUAUUAGACUACACAUUUUUUCUUAAAACUUCAUUUAAAUUAAUAUAUUUUGUUUGAAAUAAGUAGCAACAACAUGCAAGUUUUACAGUUAUUU